rnacentral:rRNA from 1 species
UAGUAACGGCGAGUGAAGCGGGAAGAGCUCAAGCUUAAAAUCUCCGUGCAAGUUUUGCGCGGCGAAUUGUAGUCUAUAGAGGCGUGGUCAGCGUGAGCACUUGGGGCAAGUUCCUUGGAAGAGGACAGCAUGGAGGGUGAUACUCCCGUUCAUCCCUGAGUUGCUCGUGCGUACGACCCGUUUUCUUUGAGUCGCGUUGUUUGGGAAUGCAGCGCAAAGUAGGUGGUAAAUUCCAUCUAAAGCUAAAUAUUGGUGCGAGACCGAUAGCGAACAAGUACCGUGAGGGAAAGAUGAAAAGAACUUUGAAAAGAGAGUUAAAGAGUACCUGAAACUGCUGAAAGGGAACCGAAUCGUUUCCAGUGUCUAUAAUCUGUGGCAUAUUUCAUUGGCGAGUGUGUGCGUGCGUGUGCUGUGGCAGUGGCUUUUUUGGCUGCGCUCGGUGUGUGUGCUGUGUGUGCUUGCUGGUGCCCUGUGCUGCGGUGGGACGUCAAGGUCAGUUCGUAUGCUGCGGGAAAUGGCUGCCGAGGAGGUAGGGCUUACGCUUGCGUUUGUCUGUUAUAUCUUGGUGGACGAGUAGUCGCGGUUGGGACUGAGGUGCCUACAACGUGCUUUUGAGUGUGUCUGUGUCUCCGUGUGCGCCGUGUGCGGAUAGCUUGCUAUGCGUGUGUGGUUGUGUGUGGAUUGAUGCGGGCUUUAACUUGUUGCCGUUC